CCCGGCAGGCAGUUGGGAGGCUGGAAGGAGCGCUGUGCGGCGCUCCACUGCCUAGCCUGGCGGGAACGUCUCACCAAACCGACACCACCUGUAAAGCUGCGGGGCAGAGUGCGCCCUGCCUGGCACAAUAGGCAUGAGUCAUGGCGAGGAGGAACUGGCCUUGUUGGAGCGGAAGGUGAUCCGCCGGGCAGUCGAGGCUGGGCACGCUCAGAGGGAAUGCGGUCCCUCCCCUUUUCUCCUCUUCCACCCCCUUGCUACAGCGCUAGAUGCAGAGCUGGACCUCCGCAAAACGGUGAAGCGGAAGAAAUUUGGGUCCGCCCAUCUGUCUUUACUGCACUGCGUCCCCCCUCAUCUGCUUUCUGAUCUCUCUUUCGGUUUUUUGUCUCUCUUUGUUUCCCCCCUCAACACAAACGCGGGAGCACACUUACACGCUGUGCGAAAGACGCCAGCCAUAGCCUCUUCAGACUGAAAGGUUAUCCAACCCCAUCCUCCCACUGCUGCUUGAACAAUGUGCUUAACGCGUAGUGCCGCAAUCACUGCAUAGGUUGCACAUGCUCAAGCACAGAUUUUAUGGCCUUGUUACUCAGAAGGCUGCUGGCUUCUGGCCCUGCCUCGACAGUUCCUAAAGAGGUCACAAAUUCUAAGAAUUUAAAGAAUGAGGAAUCAUCAUGGCACCUUUAUUUAUUUGGGGCUGGAUAAACCAGGAGUAGUUUGGAUCUGCUCAAGCAAGCAGCCUGUGGACUUUCAGCUCCAUAGCCAGAUCUGGAAAAGAGGCUGAGGAUUUCAGGACACUGGUGAAAGAAAGAUUGUUUUCUUCUUUUUCCCUGCCUCUGGUACGACACUACUUUAAACCCCAAUAUCUAGUAUAAUGUAUAACAUGUGCAACAUAGGAGGACUACUGGACUCUCAGAUCUUGUUUUCCCAUUUCUAACCACUUGUCCCUGAACAUGUUUUGAGUCCUUAUUUUGGGCAAGGCAAUAUCCUUGGUACUGUAGGGAGUGCAUGGGUAAAAAAGGCACUGUUGUGGGAUGCCU